rnacentral:rRNA from 1 species
UACAGAGGGUGCGAGCGUUGUUCGGAAUUACUGGGCGUAAAGCGCGCGCAGGCGGCCUUUUAAGUCUGACGGUGAAAUGCCGGGGCUCAACCCCGUGCCCGCCGGAGAUACUGGGAGGCUGGAGACGAGUAGGGGCAAGCGGAAUUCCGGGUGUAGCGGUGGAAUGCGUAGAGAUCCGGAAGAACACCGGAGGCGAAGGCGGCUUGCUGGGCUCGGUCUGACGCUGAGGCGCGAAAGCGUGGGGAGCGAACAGG